AGAGUUUGAUCCUGGCUCAGAACGUACGCUGGCGGCACGCCUAACACAUGCAAGUCGAACGCAGUAGCAAUACUGAGUGGCAAACGGGUGAGUAUAAUGUGGGAAUCUGCCUUUUGGUUUGGAAUAACACGAGGAAACUUGUGCUAAUACCGAAUAAGCCUUUACAGGGAAAGUUUUAACGCCGAAAGAUGAGCCCGCACUUGAUUAGCUAGUUGGUAAGGUAAAAGCUUACCAAGGCAAUGAUCAAUAGCUGUUCUUAGAGGAAGACCAGCCACAUUGGGACUGAGACACGGCCCAGACUCCUACGGGAGGCAGCAGUGGGGAAUCUUGCACAAUGGGGGAAACCCUGAUGCAGCGAUGCCGCGUGAGUGAAGAAGGCCUUUGGGUUGUAAAACUCUUUCGUCGGGGAAGAAAAUGACUGUACCCGAAUAAGAAGGUCCGGCUAACUUCGUGCCAGCAGCCGCGGUAAUACGAAGGGACCUAGCGUAGUUCGGAAUUACUGGGCUUAAAGAGCUCGUAGGUGGUUAAAAAAGUUGAUGGUGAAAUCCCAAGGCUCAACCUUGGAACUGCCAUCAAAACUUUUUAGCUAGAGUGUGAUAGAGGUAAGUGGAAUUUCUAGUGUAGAGGUGAAAUUCGUAGAUAUUAGAAAGAACACCAAAUGCGAAGGCAACUUACUGGGUCACUACUGACACUGAGGAGCGAAAGCAUGGGUAGCGAAGAGGAUUAGAUACCCUCGUAGUCCAUGCCGUAAACGAUGUGUGCUAGACGUUGGAAAUAU
rnacentral:rRNA from 1 species